rnacentral:rRNA from 1 species
AUUGAACGCUGGCGGCAGGCCGUACACAUGCAAGUCGAACGGGUGGCGGACGGGUGAGUAAUGUCUGGGAAACUUCCCCACGGAGGGGGAGAAAUACUUGAAACGGUCGCGCAUACCGCAUACCAUCCGAUGUGCCCAGAUGGGUUUAGCUUGUAGUUGAGGUAACGGCUCACCUAGGCGACGAUCCCUAGCUGGUCUGAGAGGAUGACCAGCCACACAGGAAAUGUGACACGGUCCAGGUUCCUAGGGGAGGCAGGAGUGGGGAUUAUUGCAUGAUGGGGGGAAGCCUGCUGCAGCUAGUCCGCGUGUAUGAAGAAGCCAUUCGGGUUGCAAAGUGCUUUCUGCGGGGAGGCGUUACCCGCACAAGAUGCACCGGUUAAUUCCGAGCCAGCAGCCGCGGUAAUA